GUUGGCCCCAGAUGACUUUUAAAAUGUAAACAUCAUUGAAAAAGUUCCAAAUUAUCUCCCUUUGGUGGAAAAAUGCCAUUUUUUUUUGGCUUUAAAAUUGAAAUAUCUCUUUUAACUCAUCGGUGACCUAUAUUUUUUAAUAUAAUUUCGAAAUAUGCUGUACUUAAACUAAAUUAUUGUAAAAUUUGAGCGAUUUCUGUAAUAAAUUUCUUUUUUUAUUUCGAUAUUACCUUUAUUUCUCCUAUUAGUUCAACAGAAAAAAAAAACACUUUUACAAAGAUGUAUUCUUCUUUCGAAGGCUGAUUGUGAGCGCAAAUGAACGGUGACCCCAUUUUUUUAUUUUAUUUUUCUAUUAACUAUAAGAUAAAGUUCAUUUAUAGAAAAAUAUAGAGAAAUCCUAUAUAAAUUAUUUAGACCCGCGAACCCCC
rnacentral:lncRNA from 1 species